UAGGAGAACCAAGCACUAAGUUCGGAACAAGAGAUAUGUCUGUAUAAAUGCCGGAUAUUGAAAGAUUUAUCGCUUAGUGUGGGGCUCCUAUGGGAUUAGGUUGUUGGUUGUGUAAUGGACAACCAAGCCAGGGAUCCCUAGUUGGUCUGAGAGGAUGAUCAGCCACACUGGGACUGAAACAAGGCCCAGACUUCCAUGGAGGGCAGCAGUGAGGAGUAUUGGACAAUGGGCGCAAGCUUGAUCCAGCAAUACCUAUUGGGUGAUGACAGGAACACUGUAAAACCUAUGAGAUAAGGAAAAUUAUGACUGUACUUAAUUUUUAGCCCUGGCUAACUUCGUGCCAGCAGCCGCGGUAAAACGGAGAGGGCGAGUGUUACUCAUAAUGACUGGGCGUAAAGGGUACGUAGGUUGUUAGGUAAGCGGUUAGUGAAAGGGAAGAGUAAUUACUUUAAACGCUUUCUGAACUACCUAACUUGAGUGUUGUUGAGGAUGUUGGUACUUUUAAAGUAGAGGUGAUAUUCGUUAAUAUUAAAAAGGACG
rnacentral:rRNA from 1 species